rnacentral:tRNA from 1 species
GGUGGGUUAGCUCAGUGGGUAGAGCUUUGGGCUUGUGACCGGAAGGACCCGGGUUCGAAUCUCGCCAGAAUCCUUU